rnacentral:rRNA from 1 species
UACGGAGGGGGCUAGCGUUGUUCGGAAUUACUGGGCGUAAAGCGCACGUAGGCGGAUCUUUAAGUCAGAGGUGAAAUCCCAAGGCUCAACCUUGGAACUGCCUUUGAUACUGGGGAUCUCGAGUCCGGGAGAGGUGAGCGGAACUGCGAGUGUAGAGGUGAAAUUCGUAGAUAUCGAGAGGAACACCGGUGGCGAAGGCGGCCUUCUGGACAGUGACUGACGCUGAGACGCGAAAGCGUGGGGAGCAAACAGG